UAUCCCCCAAACCAAGGGGGGAUGAGAACCACCGACCGGGGUUCGACACAAAAACGCCGGGAGCGUUUUUGAACAGAGCUUGCUCUGGCCCCGAAGGGGCGAGCGCAGCGAGUCAAUCCCCCCCUCACCGCCA
rnacentral:sRNA from 15 species